rfam:Rattus norvegicus chromosome 1, whole genome shotgun sequence.
GGGGAGGUGGCUCAGUGGUUAAGAGCACUGACUGCUCUUCCAGAGGUCCUGAGUUCAAUUCCCAGCAACCACA